rnacentral:rRNA from 1 species
GACGAACGCUGGCGGCGUGCUUAACACCUGCAAGUCGAACGGAGUGGCGAACGAGUGAGUAACACGGGGGUGAACUGCUCUGCAAUUCGCGAUAAGCCUGGGAAAAUGGGUCGAAUACCGGAUAGAGUGGGAUGGGCCCGCGGCCUAUAAGCUUGGUGGUGGGGUAAUGGCCGACCAAGGCGGCGACGGGUAGCCGGCCUGAGAGGGUGGACGGCCACAUUGGGACUGAGACACGGCCCAGACUCCUACGGGAGGCAGCAGUUGGGAAUAUUGCGCAAUGGGCGGAAGCCUGAUGCAGCGACGCCGCGUGGUGGAUGACGGCCUUCGGGUUGUAAACUCCUUUCACCAUCGACGCGGUAGAUGGAGAAGAAGCACCGGCUAACUACGUGCCAGCAGCCGCGGUAAUUC